UGGGGAAUCUUGCACAAUGGGCGAAAGCCUGAUGCAGCGACGCCGCGUGCGGGAUGAAGGCCUUCGGGUUGUAAACCGCUUUCAGCAGGGACGAGGCCGCAAGGUGACGGUACCUGCAGAAGAAGCCCCGGCUAACUACGUGCCAGCAGCCGCGGUAAUACGUAGGGGGCAAGCGUUAUCCGGAUUCAUUGGGCGUAAAGCGCGCGUAGGCGGUUUGUUAGGUCAGGAGUUAAAUCUGGGGGCUCAACCCCUAUCCGCUCCUGAUACCGGCAGGCUUGAGUCUGGUAGGGGAAGGCGGAAUUCCAAGUGUAGCGGUGAAAUGCGCAAAUAUUUGGAAGAACACCGGUGGCGAAGGCGGCCUUCUGGGCCACGACUGACGCUGAGGCGCGAAAGCUAGGGGAGCGAACAGG
rnacentral:rRNA from 1 species